rnacentral:rRNA from 1 species
GUAGGGAAUAUUGGGCAAUGGUCGGAAGACUGACCCAGCCAUGCCGCGUGCAGGAAGACGGCCCUCUGGGUUGUAAACUGCUUUUAUCUGGGAAGAAAAAGGCCAUGCGUGGCAAAUUGCCGGUACCAGAUGAAUAAGCACCGGCUAACUCCGUGCCAGCAGCCGCGGUAAUACGGAGGGUGCGAGCGUUGUCCGGAUUUAUUGGGUUUAAAGGGUGCGUAGGCGGCUGAUUAAGUCAGCGGUGAAAGACUUCGGCUUAACCGGAGCAGUGCCGUUGAUACUGGUUGGCUUGAGUGUCGGAGGGGUACAUGGAAUUGAUGGUGUAGCGGUGAAAUGCAUAGAUACCAUCAGGAACACCGAUAGCGAAGGCAUUGUACUGGCCGACAACUGACGCUGAUGCACGAAAGUGUGGGGAUCGAACAGGAUUAGAUACCCAGGUAGUCC